rnacentral:rRNA from 1 species
UACGGGGGAUGCAAGCGUUAUCCGGAAUUAUUGGGCGUAAAGGGUCCUGAGGUGGCUAGCCAAGUCUAUUGUGAAAUAUCAGGGCUUAACCCUAACAUGCGGUGGAAACUGGAAAGCUUGAGUACAGUAGGGGCGGAGGGAAUUUCCGGUGGAGCGGUGAAAUGCAUAGAUAUCGGGAAGAACACCAACGGCGAAAGCACUCCGCUGGGCUGAUACUGACACUGACAGACGAAAGCUAGGGGAGCGAAUGGG